GUUUUAAAAAUUAGUGUGUUGUUAAUUAGAGCAUAGAAGUUUAUUAAGUAAUUAACAUGAUACGUUUAUUAAGAAACUUUUGCUUCUUUGGACGUUUAUUGGGAGUUUAAUUUGGUCUUUUUCAUUUGUUUAUACACAGCCCAUGUUUUAUUGAAAGAGCGGAAGCUCUCCAUGGAAGAUCCUUCACAUGAGGUAAAGAGCAAAGAAGAGACAAAUAAAGAGAGAUGAGAAUGGCUGAAUCUACUCGUAUAAGAGCGAACCCCAACAAAGUUCCCGUAUGUUUUCUAAACUUUCCCUUUACAAUGUUAGUUUAUGUUUCUAAUUAGUAACUGAAUAAAGGUGAAUAUGGGAAGGCUAGACAGAGUGAUGUUCCUUACAUUGACAAGAAGAAGUGAGUAAAUGAUACAUCUUAUCUCUAUCUCUUUUGUUGGUUUUAGUAGUUUACUGUGGUUGUGAUUGUUUUGUGGA